rnacentral:rRNA from 1 species
UACGUAGGGUGCAAGCGUUUGUCCGGAAUUAUUGGGCGUAAAGAGCUCGUAGGCGAUUUGUCGCGUCUGCUGUGAAAAUCCAGGGCUUAACCCUGGACCUGCAGUGGGUACGGGCAGACUGGAGUGCGGUAGGGGGAGAUCGGAAUUCCUGGUGUAGCGGUGAAAUGCGCAGAUAUCAGGAGGAACACCGGUGGCGAAGGCGGAUCUCUGGGCCGUAACUGACGCUGAGGAGCGAAAGCAUGGGGAGCGAACAGG